CUUCCGGCUCUGGCGGCCGUUUCCAUGGGGACCAAGAUGGCGGCGGCGGGUUUGGGAUGUCGGGAGAGGCCCUGCUGAGCCCCCCCAGCGCCAUGAUCCGUUGGGAAUGCUGGGGCUGAGUGCUCCAAGCCCCAGGAAGGAGGAUGCUCCAGCCCAGCAACUACAGCCUGGUGCUGUUCCUGCAGUUCCUGCUGCUUUCCUACGACCUCUUUGUGAAUUCCUUCUCGGAGCUGCUGCGCACGGCUCCGGCCGUGCAGCUCGUCCUCUUCAUCAUCCAGGACAUCGCCAUCGUCUUCAACGUCAUCAUCGUCUUCCUCAUGUUCUUCAACACCUACGUUUUCCAGGCGGGCUUGGUCAACCUCCUCUUCCAUAAAUUCAAGGGAACCAUCCUGCUCUCCGCAGCCUACCUGGCGCUCAGCAUCUCCUUCCACGUCUGGAUUAUGAACCUGCGCUGGCGUGACUCCAGCCGCUUCAUCUGGACUGAAGGCCUUCAGACCCUGUUCGUUUUCCAGAGGCUGGCGGCCGUGCUUUACUGCUACUUCUACAAGCGGACAGCUGUGCACCUGGGAGACCCCCUCUUCUACCAGGAUUCACUCUGGCUCCGCAAGGAAUUUGCCCACUUCCGUGGCUGAUGGAUCCCCGGGAGUCUCCUUGCACUCCACCGGCUCUGUCGGGGCCGCCACCAUCGCUCCUCGGCUCCGCUGCAGGUCCUGCUCUUCCUCAACGGCUGGUACUGCGCCACAUAUUUUCUCCUGGAAGCGUUCGUGUUCGUGUACAAAGUGCUGCUCCUGCCCUAUCCCGUCUCCAACUUGGUGCUGGAUGUGGUUCUGCUCCUCCUGUACCUCGGCAUUGAGGCCACACGCAUCUUCUUCGCGCGGAUCCCUACUGAGGACACGGCCCAGGGACACAG